rnacentral:rRNA from 1 species
ACGUAGGUGGCAAGCGUUGUCCGGAAUUAUUGGGCGUAAAGCGCGCGCAGGUGGGAUCAUAAGUCUUAUGUAAAAGUGCGGGGCUCAACCCCGUAAAGCGUGAGAAACUGUGAUUCUUGAGUGCCGGAGAGGAAAGCGGAAUUCCCAGUGUAGCGGUGAAAUGCGUAGAUAUUGGGAGGAACACCAGUGGCGAAGGCGGCUUUCUGGACGGUGUCUGACACUGAGGCGCGAAAGCCAGGGGAGCGAACGG